CAUGGCAAGUGGCUCAAAAGGUUUGCCCAUGAGCACUUUCAGUACGAGAUUUAUGUCACAUGCUGGAGUUGGAUCCUUAUGGGGGGAAAUAGGUUGUGUAGAACCCGCAUAAAUUGUUUGAUUGAUGGGUGUGUGCAAACUGAGUGUACUUGGAUUGGGUCAUGCAAGGCGGAGAUAGAUGCAUUUUGACGGUAUUGAGGGAGAGGCUUGUGCUAUGUAAUUCUAACAGGUAUUGCAAAAUGUGAGAUACAUCAGUGUGUGGAAAUUCGCGUCCAUGAGCUUCACACUAGGCCUGGAGCCUCUUCCAUUUUUGAGUAUAUGUCUUUCUAGUUGCAGGUCGUCUGGAGUUGGCGAGGACACAUUGAACUGGUUCUGUGAAUGUCCUUUCUGAUUGAGUCAGCCAGAAAGCAUCCACGCUCGCAGAUGUAAUUUGUGGAUGUGCGGAUGAGGGAUUCGACCAUUUUGUUGAAUGAUCAGCAUACAUACUGGCAGAAAGUGAUACGGUGGCAGUACGCUCAUCCAUAAUGGAGAGAGAAGAAGGAAGAGUCAGCAUUGCCACUGAGCUCCGUCUUCAGCCAAGGACAGUUGAGAAGGAACUGAAUGGGUUCAUGCAUAUGAGGUGCCAACAGCACCACAAGAGACUUACUAUGCAUACACACCCUGACCAAGCACUGAUACUGGAAAUCUCUGACCUGUGGUGCAGGAAGACACAGACAUCUAAAGUGGAGCACCCAUCGGGACACUGCUCACAGAAAUAAGAGAAGAACAGUUAAAGGAAGGAGAGGAUAACUAUUUACAAUUAUCUACAGCUCCCCGGAGGAGACUGAAAGAAUGCUGAGAGAAUCGGAGCUCCAUCUGUGGUCAAGGAUGGUUGAGAGGAACUGAGCGGGGAGCCGGUUGGGUGCGAAGAUCAAAGGGUGCAAACAGCGCAAAACACAGCCAUGCAAAGCCUCUGAACUGCAGCACUGGGACAAGCCGGACACCAUGCUCCACUCAAGAGCUCCCACAGGGACCACUCGAAGAAGAACUGGGGGAUUUAGGCACACAGCUUUAACAUAGAUUACAUGAUUUUGACAAACUGCUUUCUUCACAAUGUCAGAAAUGGUUUUAGGUUCCAGAAUUGUAAAUGGACAAACUAUGGAAGAACAGAAUUAUUUUGUUUAGCUGAAUACAAAGUGAAUUUUCAGCACUGGCACAAUCAAUCCUCCUCUCAGUGAGAGCAACAGGAGUUUGGCCAGUGACUUCAAGAGGAAAAAGUCUGGGCCCUUCCCACUAUUACACUUAUCAACUCCACUUCAUGCUACCACUCAGCAUCUCUUAUGUCCUUGCCCUAACUAUACAUUUCUGUGUACAUUUAUUAUGUAUUUGGAAAAAAAUUCCCUAACAUUUGAAUGUAAGAAUGUAGGAACACAAGAAUGGCCAUAUUGGGUCAUACCAAUGGUUCGACUAGCCCCCUAUUCUAUCUCCUAAUAGUGGUCAAUGUGGGGUGCUUCAGAGGGAACGAACAGAAUGGGGCACUCAUCCAUCCCCUUGCCAUAGAAUCAUAGGUCUGAAAUAGUACGUCUACACAGCAGCGUUAUUUCAGAAUAACUGACAUUAUUCUGAAAUAACAAAGAGUGAGUCUACGCUGCAAGCCACUAUUUCGAAUAAUGUCGAGCUGAGAGAUUUCUUACUCUGACUUCUGUAACCCUCAUUUUACAAGGAGUAAGGGAAGUUGAAGGAAGAGUGUU